CGCGGGGAUCGCGACACGUGGGGAGAGACCGGGACAGACCCGGGACAGGCCCGGGAUAGCCUGGGACAGAGCCGGGACACCCCGGCUCACAGGCACCCCCCGAAUCCCAGGCCCGGCCCUCUGGCACACCCCAAAAGCAGGAGGACACGGCUGGCACUGUCCCCCCAGCACUGGGGACACCCCAAAGCCGGGACAGGGCUGGCAGACGAGUGACACUGCAGGGCCACCAAGGAGACGCGAGCAGCUCCGAGUGUCACCGAACCGUGUUUAUUGCCGUCCGUGCCGCUGUCACAUGGCGAGGAGGAUGAGGAAGGCCACCGUGAGGCAGAAGAGCCCCAUGGCCUCGGACAGGGCGAAGGCCAGGAUGGCGCAGGAGAAGAGUGUCGGCUUCAGAGAGGGGUUCCUGGGGGGCACGGCCACCUGGGUCCCGGUCCCCUCACAGGGACCUGUCACCCACAGUCCCAUGUCCCCCCCGAGCCCCCUGUCCCCUUCAUAACCCCCAGUCCCCUACACAGCCCCUGUCGCCACCCGUCCCUCAAAGCCCCCUGUCACCCCCAGAACCCUGUCCCUCUUUGUCUCCCCUUCCCCCCCUGCCCCCCAUUCCUCCUGUCCGUGUCCCCUGUCUGUCCCUGUCCCCCCGUCCGUCCCCACCCACGGGGCUGAGGCUCGGGGGCUGCGGCCCCACGGGUGCCCCCGGCUCGGGGGUCACGCAGGGCGGGGCACACACGGGAGGGGCAGGGCGUGCCGCUGUCACCCGGGUGUCCCCUCACGGCGGUGGCACCGCGGUGGUGGCACCGUGGGCACAGGGACGGAGGUGCCGCUGCAGGUGUCACCGGCGGUGCGGCAGCGGAGCCCCCGGGCCGAGACGGGCCCCGGGGUGUCGGGCACACCUGGGGGGCUCUCGGUGUCUCGGUGUCCCCUCACGGUCUGUCCCCGCCCCUCUCUGUCCCCCCCGCUCUCACCGGGCAGGUCGCGGCCUCUCCAUGCGCGCAUGCGCGGCCGGGGAUAUGGGGGCGCCCCCUGCUGGACGGGAGGACUCGGAGCGGCGCG
rnacentral:lncRNA from 1 species